CUGGCCUCAAGCAGUCCUCCCACCUUGUACUCCCAAAGUGCUAGAAUUACUGGUGGGAGCCACCACGCCCAGCCUGGAAUCUGAUUCUAACCGCAAGUGUUAUCUGCAAAGAUUGUGGAAUUUCUGGAGUUGGGACCCACGGGAGGGAAAACUCCCAGAACUUCUUGGUCCUGAUGCCUGACCAUGGAGAUGUGAGCCUCCCACCCGAAGACCGGGUGAGGGCUCUCUCCCAGCUGGGUAGUGCAGUGGAGGUGAAUGAAGACAUUCCACCCCGUCGGUACUUCCGCUCUGGAGUUGAGAUGAUCCGAAUGGCAUCCAUUUACUCUGAGGAAGGCAACAUUGAACAUGCCUUCAUCCUUUAUAACAAGUAUAUCACGCUUUUUAUUGAGAAACUGCCAAAGCAUCGAGAUUACAAAUCUGCUGUCAUUCCUGAAAAGAAAGACACGGUAAAGAAAUUAAAGGAAAUUGCAUUUCCCAAGGCAGAAGAACUGAAGGCAGAACUAUUAAAACGAUACACCAAAGAAUAUACAGAAUAUAAUGAAGAAAAGAAGAAGGAAGCGGAGGAAUUUGCCCGUAACAUGGCCAUCCAGCAGGAGCUAGAAAAGGAAAGACAGAGGAUAGCACAGCAGAAGCAGCAGCAAUUGGAACAGGAACAGUUCCAUGCCUUUGAGGAGAUGAUUCGGAACCAGGAGCUAGAAAAAGAGCGACUGAAAAUUGUACAGGAGUUUGGGAAGGUGGACCCUGGCCGAGGAGGCCCACUGGUGCCUGACUUGGAAAAGCCCUCCUUAGAUGUGUUCCCCACCUCACCUGUCUCAUCCACACAGCCUUUAGACUGUAACACAACUGUAAGGCCAGCUAAGCCACCAGUGGUGGAUAGGUCCCUGAAACCUGGAGCACUGAGCAACUCAGAGAGUGUUCCUACCAUCGAUGGAUUGCGCCACGUGGUGGUGCCCGGCAGGCUGUGCCCACAGUUUCUGCAGUUAGCCAGCGCCAACACUGCCCGGGGAGUGGAGACAUGUGGAAUUCUCUGUGGAAAACUGAUGAGGAAUGAAUUUACCAUUACUCAUGUUCUCAUCCCCAAGCAAAGUGCUGGAUCUGAUUACUGUAACACAGAGAAUGAAGAAGAACUUUUCCUCAUACAGGAUCAGCAGGGUCUCAUCACACUAGGAUGGAUUCAUACUCAUCCCACACAGACCGCCUUCCUCUCCAGUGUUGACCUGCACACGCACUGCUCCUACCAGUUGAUGCUGCCAGAGUCAAUAGCCAUUGUUUGCUCCCCCAAGUUCCAGGAAACUGGAUUCUUUAAACUAACUGAACAUGGACUAGAGGAGAUAUCUUCCUGUCGCCAGAAAGGAUUUCACCCACACAGCAAGGAUCCACCUCUUUUCUGUAGCUGCAGUCACGUGACCGUUGUGGACAGAGCAGUAAACAUCACAGACCUUCGAUGAGAGCUUGAGUCAGACACCUUCCAAGAAUUACAAAACCAUAUCAGUGUACUGUAGCCCCUUAAUUUAAGCUUUCUAGAAAGCUUCGUAAGCUUUCUUAGACAGACUAGAAAGGGGGCAUCAUUUGGGAAAGAGCUGAUUUUCUGUUUCUGAUUUAAAAAGAAAUAACUGAAUUAUUUUUUAGACCUGGCUGGAAAACAGCAUGAUGACACUAAAGCACGGUAACUCAGAAAUUAAGUCAAAAGAAUGGUAUAAUGAAGUCCCAUAAAUCCUUCAUUCUAGAUUUGCCAGUUGCUAACAUUUUUUUCCUUUCAGCUAUCCUUCUAAUUUCUAUGCCAAACCUGUUUAUUGUUUAUCUCUGGACUAAACAAGGGCAUCUAUGCAGAAAUUUGGAAGCCAUUUAGAAAAUCUUUGGGGUUUUCCGGUGGUUUAUGGCAAUACUAAUGGAGCUUAUUAAAGGAUGAGGAACAGCUCACUGCAUCUGACCAGAUGUUACCCCAGUGGUAGGAGGUUUUUCAUAUUGGAGUUGAGAGGAAUGGAGACCGCUGAGAACAAAGCUUUAAUGAGUGAAAGUCCAGUGAGUCCUGCACCUUUGAUCUGUUUCAAGUGGAUUCAUCAUGGGCUGAGCCUGUUAGGUCCAGAAUCCAGCUCUGUGGCAUUGCACAGCCAUGGGUCUGUGUCGUCCUCUGGUGAUCAAAUCUGCUUCCCCUGGAGCUUGAUCCAACUUCCACCUUCUUUAGUGUCUUCUCUCACUGAAACCAAAACUCCAUUGCCCCUUCAAUGUGGGAAUCUAGCCAAGACCUUAUUCUUGGACAGCAUCAGUGAAAGGGCCUUGGGAAAGCUCUUGGGUGUAGCAGCAGAGGCAUGUCAUAUAUGGAAACCUUCCAUGAGGGUGACCUCACCGCUGGAGCCUGUUCAACAUAAACCUUGCUGCAAGAACUAGCAGAGAUCUUUGGACAAAACCCAGUGGGUGGAGAACUAAGAAAGAACUGACCUAAAGAAGAGAAGUGCUUCUGCAGGAUCUACCUCUACAGUCCUCAAAUAAAUUUAAAAAAGAAGUAAAAUAUUUUAUGAAAAAAAUUAUAUAAAUUAAAAAAAAAAAAAGAAGAGAAAUGCUGCCUUUAUGGCCUGAAGAAGUCCUGAUUAUCCAUCCAAGCUUAGCAGAUCUCUUUUGUGAUCUAUUCCUAGGGAAGAAUUGCUUUUCUCAACCUCCAGAAAAGAACUCCCACAAUAGCCCUGGGUUAUUUCUGUCUUUUUCUGAAAACAUAGAUUGUUACUUGUGUUGGACAAAUCAUUACGGGUUAUUAGUGGGUGACAGAAGUGGAGAUAUUACCUUGAGUCAAGGAAGUAAAGUUAUUCUUAGAUAUUCCUCUGUCAUUCCCUGUAGUUAGGUUCCCUAUCCCUGGCAGUCUCCUCUCUUCACCCCACUUUGCCUUAAAAAAAGCGAAUGACAUCAUAGCAAAGCACAAUUCCAUCAAAUAUGGCCCAUGCCGUCUAUAGCACUGGCCCCUUUGCCAUUUUGAAUGGCUCAUAACACCCUGCUCACCACGUUAAAACACCUGUGUCUACAACGUCUCUCACCCAGCCUAGUUCUACACCUUUCCCAUGACUUAGGAGUUUUAAAUUGUUUUUAAUGGAAACAUGGUAGACUCACGAUAAGUUCACACAACUAUUUUAUUUCCCAGUCCCAGUGUUGCUUUGUAAGCACAAGGUCUCUGAUUAUACCCUUGAGACUUCAGCUGACCCAGGGAGAGAUCACAUAAUGAGAACAGAAUCAUGUCUUAGUACAAAUUCUUUUAAUUGCACUGACGGAAAAUUCAAACUGGUAUUCAGGCACAGCUGGAUUCAGUGUCCAUUGUCAUCAGGUUCAUUUUGUAUUCAUCUCUAGGCUCAUAUGCUUAAUGUGUAUUCAUUUAAUUAGAUUUUCUAAUAAGGUAGCAUUGACACCUAUAGGUUUAUAUAGCCUAUUGGCCUGGUAAACCCAUCAAGGAAAAGAAACUUCUGAGUCCAACAGGUUCAACACAAGUCCUGGAAUUGAGUUAUUAGGUCAUGGUUUUGGUCAUGACUUCAUCCUUGGACCAAUCACUGUGGCCAGGAGGAUGGAAUACUCUGAUUAGCCAGGCCUGGGUCAUGUACCUAUUCCCCGUCUGUCCCAUGUACCUAUUCCCACAUACACUGAGAGUGGAGAAGUACCUAGGUCCCAGGUACCUAUUCCCACAUACACUGAGAGUGGAGAAGCAUUCAUUUCCAAAGAAAAAUCAUGUUGGCAUUAGCAGCGGAAGGAGAAGUAGAUGCUGGACAGGCAAAGGCAAGAGAUGUCCAUGACGGGUGCCUAGGAGAAAAAGCUGGAGCCUACCAUCUCCACGUAGGCUUUAUGAUCCAAGGUGAGUGAACUAAUAAAAUGUAAACGGGAACACUAAGUGGUAUUGGCUUUAGAUAAUAAUAGCUAGACUAUGGGAUGGUGACCCUCUCAAUCCCAAAAGGCAGGUCACACAUCCAGUCCAUGGGUCAUUCACUAAAUUUGCAUAUAUUGAGCACCCGCUGUGUGCAGAGCACUGUUCAAAGUACGCAAAAAGUAUUCAUGGAUGCUAAGCUCUCUGUCCUCAAGCAACAGAUAAUGGAGGGAGAUAAAGGAGCCAUAUGCUGGUGACAUAGCACAAGAGCAACUUCUUCAUGAUUGAUGAGCAUACACGGAAUAAUGAGCACCAACUUUACCUGUAAGUGUUGAGGGAAGCCAAGUGAGGGAGAAAUGAAUGUUUUCAUUUUAAUCUAUUUACACUCCACUUUUAACUCAACAAAUAUUUUCUAUAUGCCUACUAAGUGCUAAGUCCCAUAGAACUUGAUAUAGGUAGACUCUAGAUAACUUAUAGAAAAGAUUUCAGAUAGAUUCCCAGGAUAUGUAAAAUGUUAAAAAGAGAAAAUGAACAGGAGUGAAGAAGAAUGUAGAAAUCAAGUAUGCAACCAAAUGAAUUCAGCAGCAAAGAGAAAAAUGUAAACCAUGAUUAUUUACAUACAUCCCCACCAUGGAUGGGCCAAAUGUUGUGUGAUAUCAUAAAUAAUUUGUAUAAUAAACCCAAACAUCAACUA